rnacentral:rRNA from 1 species
UGGGGAAUUUUGGACAAUGGGCGCAAGCCUGAUCCAGCCAUGCCGCGUGCGGGAAGAAGGCCUUCGGGUUGUAAACCGCUUUUGUCAGGGAAGAAAUCUUCUGAGUUAAUACCUCGGGAGGAUGACGGUACCUGAGGAAUAAGCACCGGCUAACUACGUGCCAGCAGCCGCGGUAAUACGUAGGGUGCAAGCGUUAAUCGGAAUUACUGGGCGUAAAGCGUGCGCAGGCGGUUUUGUAAGACAGAGGUGAAAUCCCCGGGCUCAACCUGGGAACUGCCUUUGUGACUGCAAGGCUUGAGUGCGGCAGAGGGGGAUGGAAUUCCGCGUGUAGCAGUGAAAUGCGUAGAUAUGCGGAGGAACACCGAUGGCGAAGGCAAUCCCCUGGGCCUGCACUGACGCUCAUGCACGAAAGCGUGGGGAGCAAACAGGAUUAGAUACCCCUGGUAGUCCACGCCCUAAACGAUGUCAACUGGUUGUUGGGAAGGUUCCUUCUCAGUAACGUAGCUAACGCGUGAAGUUGACCGCCUGGGGAGUACGGCCGCAAGGUUGAAAGCU